CGUGUUAAGUUAUCGGAGACAUAUGCGCGUGUCAUGACCGUGAAGUCAAGUUGGAGUCUCUUGUCGGACAAUAUACAAUGAGAGAAAGAAAAGAAAAGAAAAGAAACAAGGGAAAAAAAAGAAAAGAAAAAAGAUUCCUUGAGGCGAUAAAUUCCUAAGGUUCCGAGUCGUAAAGGGGAAUCGAUGGGACGCUAUCACCGGUUAUAAAAUACCUAGAGCAAUCGUCCGAUAUCUACGAUACGUAUGUAUGUAUGUAUGUACGUACGUAUGUACAUACGUGGGUAUAUCCAUCUCGAAGGAGUUAACAGCCAAGUAAAUAGGCGUAAUCAUGUUGAUAACCGAGCUCUCUUUUUCGCAUAUGAAAUAAUAAUCAAUUAACUCUCGGCGAUGUCGCUUAUACAGUAUGCACUUGUGAAUAAUUGAUCUUACGAAAAAAAAAAAAAAAAAAACAAAUAGGGAAAAAGGAAAAGUAAAAGAAAAGAAAAAUGAGAAAAAACAGUGAAAGAAAUGGAAAUAACGAGAACAAGAACAAAUAAAAAAUGAAUACGAAGUUAACGAAGCGAAAGUGCGAAGAAACGAUGGCGACUUUUGAUUCCGUGCUCGUCGAGAACUCCCCGAGAGGUCAAUGACACGAGCUUCAAGGAGGCCGGAUAAUAUGGAAAGGGAAGACACUCGUUUGUGUAAUACAUAUACAGAUGAUAUACAUAGUGUAAGUACGUGUGUAUUCAUUCGUUCUGACACAACUACUGAGUAAGAAUGUAUAUAACGAAAUCCUUUCGAACGAAUGAAAUCUAGAAUAAGUAAAUACUUAUUUACUUACUCAAUUCGCUAUUUGAUCGAUUGUAUUGCAGUAAAAAAUUCGACAAAAAUUUUUCAUACCUUUUUUGAUCGAUUUUUCCUAGGUAAUUUUUUUUCCCCCAUCUACCUUCACUGGGAAACGCCUAGAGGCCCUAGUGACAGUGUUCUAAGCGCUAGAGACAUCUAUCGUUCGAAGCCGAAAGGUAGAAGUUUGAGGAACGCCCGAUAGAGCGCAUGAUCGACCCUUUUCCAGAUGGCCGCCGCUAAAGAUUCUCCGAUUGGUCGAUUCGACGGCGGCCAUCAUGAAUUCCAAGCAUAAAAGACAUAAUGAGGCCCGUGAUGGCCGACUCGGCCGCCAAUGACGUCAUGGGGGUGGCACUCGACGAAAAAAAAAAGAACCAGGGAAUUCGAAAAAUGGCGUCCUGCACGGUGCAGCUUAUAAGUACCUAAAGCGUAUAAGGAAUCGAAGCGACUAGGAAAUUCCGUCUUAUUCCGUGAUAGCGUCAACCAAGAAAUAUUAAAUCUGACACCCUUUGGAUUGACAUGUAACUCAAAGGGCAAUAAACCUAGUGACUUUGCGAACGAUAUAGACAGACAACGACCUCGAUGGAAAGAGAAAGAGAGAAAGAUAGAUAUAUACAUAUAGAAAGAGAGACAACGAGAGAAAGAAAGAGAGAGAGAGAGAGAGAGAGAGAGAGAGAGAAAGAGACAAACAGACAGAGACAGAGGGGUAUGUCGAAGGACCGUGCGUAAAAACUUUUAUGAUCACAGUCAAUAAAGUGACGUAACUUAAGUGGUCUACGAACGAACGACGGCAGAGUCGGUGACGUCAGAAAAAGAGUACGGAAGUCGCGCGUAAAUGCCACGUGAAGCUCGAUGGAUGGUCGGCAAGGGGUUGUCGGGAAGGAAGGAGACAGCGGAGGAUGGAGGGUGGUGGAGAAAGCGGUCGUUGUCGCGGGUAAGAGACUCCGACACUUCAGGAAGCAGAGACGAGGAGGGAAGUACCGAACUCAAGGAAAUGCGUGAAUGAGAGAAGGAGAAAGAAAGAAAGAAAGUGCCAGAGAGAGAGAAAGAGAAAGACAGUGAGAUAGACAGAAAGAAUAAGAGAGAGAGAUAGAGAGAGAGAUAGAGAGAGAGAGAGAGAGAGAGAGAGAGAAAGAGCGAGCUGGUUGAUGGUUUACGACAUUCCGUUGAUGGCCGUAGUGGCGUAGUUGUGCCGUCGAGCCCAUAAAAAUGUAACGAGCCUGUAAACGUUCGUUUAUAUUGCCUUGCCUUUACGCCCAUCCGGAUUGGGGCAGGUCGGGAAGUCGAGUGGUACCGUGUGUGACGUCACGUAAGAAGACAGACGUGCGACCCCGCGUGGCCCGCUAUGAUUCGUCUACCACCCCCUCCCUCCCCGCCACUUCACCUUAUCUCCCACCCCCGCCUCCCCCCCCCAACCUCUUUCCCUACGCUCGAGGGCCUACUACCUAACUGUUUUUCUACGCGGACCGCCACGUAGGUAUAAUAGCAUCGUAGACUCGUUUUAGAGCCGAUAAACGCGCGACACACCGCAGACUGCCUGUCUCUCCUUUGCAUUACGUCGACGGCCCCCGACUCUCGUCGUUGCCGUUGCCGUUGCUCUGCUUAUGAUGCUUCUGUUAUUGCUCGAGUCUUACACAUCCGGCGACCUUGAAACGUCGCUCGUAAUCCUCGCCAACGCGAAUAUAAUAAAAGAAUACCUUUAACGAAUACGUAUUAGCUUUAGUCGUGUGUCUCUUACGAUAUCUACUUAAUAUUUCAAAGUAAUACUAUUCUCUUCGGUCAAUGUAACUCAAAUAUUUAUAGUAUUUACUUUAUUAUUAUAGUAUUUAUUGUUUUUCUAUUGUCUCAUUCAUAAAAAUUUGUCGAACUUAUUAAUCGUUUCGUUCAUCAAGGUAAGAAAUUAUUAUCUACUGUAUAAUUAUUGUAUUAGAUUUUUUCUCAUCGUAUGAAGAAGCAAAAUGAGAUAACUGUUUUCCGUUCGAUAAUCUUAAACGUUACAAUACGGUAUUUUACUUCAAUUUUCUACGAUUCAACCUAAUUUCUUCAUUGUCUCAACGAAUUCGGCGCCAUCCUCCAUUAACCGGAUUACACUCGAGAGCUCGUAAAGAUCUUCGAACGGGGACGACCGACUUUCUCACGAGUAUAUCUCUACUUUUAGCUAACCGAACGACCUUGACAUCGAUUCACAUUCACGUCCAUGACAAACGGAGAGGAACGUGACGCCUGUAUACUUCGACCAUGUUUGUGUGUCCUAUGUGUAUGUACUAUGCAUACAUAUAAACACACACACACACACACACAUAUAUAUAUAUAUAUAUACACAUAGAGAGGAAUGAUCGUUGCUUGACGUUGUUGUUGGCUCGUUGAGAGGAUAGCGCGCUUCGCGAAGCGCAAAGGUCGGGGAUACUCUGCAACCCGUUUCGGUAACGCGUAAAACUUUAUAGGCGACCAUAAAGACGGACGUUUAGCUUUAUUUGGGCAGUGUAAGAGGGAGAGACCGUUCUUAGCUGUCAAACGCAUGAGUUCGAGGGAACCUAACGGGAGAGAAUCUCUGAGGCCUAUGAACCGAGCGACGGCCGACGCUUUAGGCUUUUACCCGAAGGAACAAGAAAUUCGGAUGAAAAUAUUACUGGCACAACACCGGGAUAUCUUAAAUAUCAAUAUUUUAAACCACGAAGAAUACACAGAAUGUCAAUGAAUAUUCGAUGUCACAUAAAAUAUUUCACAUCGAUUUUGACUGUCGAAUGAAUCAAUGGCCAAUGGAAGGACGAUUAUUGCGAGGAAGAAACGAGAAGAAACAAGAGGAAAUAAAUCUUGAAUUUUUUGAGUACGAAUAAUUAUGAAUUUAGAUAUAAUCAUUGAAAAAAUUCUGUAUCUUCGGCAUUGGAGAGAUUUUAGGCCUAUUGGAGCAUUUUACGUUUCAAUGAAAAUACCA